AGAGGACCGGAAUGACGGAACCUCUGGUGUACCGGCUGUCCUGCCAAGGGCAUCGUCGGGUAACUAUGUUCCGAAUUGAUAAGCGCUGAAAGCAUCUAAGUGCGAAGCAAUCUCCAAGAUUAGGUAUCGUUAUAGCUUCCUUGAAGAUUACAAGGUUGAUAGGCGAUAGGUGUAAGCGCAGCAAUGUGUUUAGCCAAGUCGUACUAAUAAAGCAAUUCCUACUCAU
rnacentral:rRNA from 1 species